rnacentral:rRNA from 1 species
CAGCAGCCACGGUAAUACGUAGGUGGCAAGCGUUGUCCGGAAUUAUUGGGCGUAAAGGGCUCGCAGGCGGUUUCUUAAGUCUGAUGUGAAAGCCCCCGGCUCAACCGGGGAGGGUCAUUGGAAACUGGGAAACUUGAGUGCAGAAGAGGAGAGUGGAAUUCCACGUGUAGCGGUGAAAUGCGUAGAGAUGUGGAGGAACACCAGUGGCGAAGGCGACUCUCUGGUCUGUAACUGGCGCUGAGGAGCGAAAGCGUGGGGAGCGAACAGGAUUAGAUACCCGGGUAGUCCCUGUCUCUUAUAC